CACGUAGGCACCAAGCGUUGUCCGGAUUUAUUGGGCGUAAAGAGCUCGUAGGCGGUCUGUCGCGUCUGCUGUGAAAACUCGGGGCUUAACCCCGGGCCUGCAGUGGGUACGGGCAGACUAGAGUGCGGUAGGGGAGACUGGAAUUCCUGGUGUAGCGGUGAAAUGCGCAGAUAUCAGGAGGAACACCGGUGGCGAAGGCGGGUCUCUGGGCCGUAACUGACGCUGAGGAGCGAAAGCGUGGGGAGCGAACAGG
rnacentral:rRNA from 1 species